rnacentral:lncRNA from 1 species
CUGAGCCCGUGCCUGUCUUCAGAUCUUCACAGCACAGUUCCUGGGAAGGUGGAGCCACCAGCCUCUCCUUGCCCUAGCAGAUGCUAAUCCAGCGUGCGUCCUGACAGAGGUUGAAGGGGGCUUCUCAAGUCCCAGGUCCAGCUUGGUGUGGUUCAGCUACUCAAGAGACAUCUGCUGCUAAUGGAUGAGCAGUCAACCUGGACGCAGGAAAUCAUUUUUUAUUUGGACUCAUGCCCAAAGUUACGGAGGACCCAGCAACCAUCUCCUGCAGCCCCUGGAAACCUCUUGACUCUUCUGUGAUGUCCCCAGUGAUCCAGCAGCCCUGGCCUUCUUUUGAUGGCUUGAACAUUUGGUCUUCAUUGAACAGUUUGUAUAUUGGAAACUUGCCAGCCUCCAUCCAAUAACUGGGAGAUGAAACAGGAAGCUCUAUGACACACUUGAUCGAAUAUGACAGACACCGAAAAUCACGACUCAGCCCCCUCCAGCACCUCUACCUGUUGCCCGCCGAUCACAGCCGGAAUGCAGCUGAAAGAUUCCCUGGGGCCUGGUUCCAACCGCCCACUGUGGACUCUGAGGCCUCUGCAUUUGCGGGUGGUCUGCCUGUGAUAUUUUGGUCAUGGGCUGGUCUGGUCGGUUUCCCAUUUGUCUGGCCAGUCUCUAUGUGUCUUAAUCCCUUGUCCUUCAUUAAAAGCAAAACUAAAGAAACAAGCAAAGUGGAUCAGCAAAGGCUGCAGUCACCAGCAUCUUUUCCAACCUUAAUGAACUGUAUCCUCAAA